AUGUAUAGCGGUGGUGCAGACGAACUGACCUUCCUGUUCGUACUCCUACAUUGCAUAUCUGAACUUGGCCAAGAAUGGACCCCAAUGCUUCUCUUGCCUCAGAGUUCAUAUGAAGCAAAUAAAAGGCAUGCAGUUCUUUACGAUUUGAGCCGCCACCCCUCCGGCCUGCCCGCCGGCGGCACACUGCUCUUCCAGCCGCCCCUGAGCCCACGCGGCUUGCCGGAUCAUGCGCCACCCCAGAGUGCCACCCACGCCAACCUGAGAUCCGCCUCUGCAGGACAUGAUGGCCAGAUCGCCGGGAGCCCCUACCCCGACCCCAAGGUUGCUGGCAGCGUCAACCCCGACGAUGAGGUCACCGUCACCCCCAACCUUGACGCCCAGGUGUGGAUGGAAGAGUGA
rnacentral:rRNA from 1 species